GAUGAACGCUGGCGGCGUGCCUAAUACAUGCAAGUCGAGCGAACAGACGAGGAUCUUGCUCCUCUGACGUUAGCGGCGGACGGGUGAGUAACACGUGGAUAACCUACCUAUAAGUCUGGGAUAACUUCGGGAAACCGGAGCUAAUACCGGAUAAUAUAUUGAACCGCAUGGUUCAAUAGUGAAUGACGGUUUUGCUGUCUCUUAUAGAUGGAUCCGCGCCGCAUUAGCUAGUUGGUAAGGUAACGGCUUACCAAGGCAACGAUGCGUAGCCGACCUGAGAGGGUGAUCGGCCACACUGGAACUGAGACACGGUCCAGACUCCUACGGGAGGCAGCAGUAGGGAAUCUUCCGCAAUGGGCGAAAGCCUGACGGAGCAACGCCGCGUGAGUGAUGAAGGUCUUCGGAUCGUAAAACUCUGUUAUUAGGGAAGAACAAAUGUGUAAGUAACUAUGCACGUAUUGACGGUACCUAAUCAGAAAGCCACGGCUAACUACGUG
rnacentral:rRNA from 1 species